AUCCUACGGGGGGCAGCAGUGGGGAAUAUUGCACAAUGGGGGAAACCCUGAUGCAGCAACGCCGCGUGAGUGAAGAAGUAUUUCGGUAUGUAAAGCUCUAUCAGCAGGGAAGGAGAUGACGGUACCUGAGUAAGAAGCCCCGGCUAACUACGUGCCAGCAGCCGCGGUAAUACGUAGGGGGCAAGCGUUAUCCGGAUUUACUGGGUGUAAAGGGAGCGUAGGCGGUGAGACAAGUCUGAAGUGAAAGCCCGGGGCUCAACCCCGGGACUGCUUUGGAAACUGCCUGACUGG
rnacentral:rRNA from 1 species